rnacentral:rRNA from 1 species
GCGUAGAGAUCCGGAGGAACAUCAGUGGCGAAGACGGUCGGCUGGGUCUCAUCGGACGCUGAGGUGCGAAAGCGUGGUUAGCGAACGGGAUUAGAAACCCCGGUAGUCCACGCCGUAAACGAUGCAGACUAGAUGUUGCUAGCCGUAGAGGUUAUGAGUGUCGAAGCAAACGCGAUAAGUCUGCAGCCUGGGGAGUACGGUCGCAAGGUUCAAACUCAAAGGAAUCGACGGGGGCCCGCACAAGCAGCGGAGCGUGUGGUCCAAUUCGAGCCUACGCGAAGAACCUCACCUGGGCUUGACAUAGCGCUGGUAGCGACCCGAAAGGGGAGUCACAUAUGAGCCGUUACAGGUGCUGCAUGGCUGUCGUCAGCUCGUGCCGUGAGGUGUUCGGUGAAGUCCGCGAACGAGCGCAACCCUUACUGCCAGUUACAAGUGUCUGGCGGGACUGCCCGGGGGAACCGGGCGCGAAGGUGGGGAUGACGUCAAGUCAGCAUGGCCUUUAUGUCCAGGGUGACACACACGCUACAAUGGCUGGUACAACGGGGAGCGAAGUCCCGAGACGGAGCGAAUCCAGCAAAGCCAGUCUCAGUUCGGACUUGUAGGCUGCAACUCGCCUGCAUGAAGUUGGAG